rnacentral:piRNA from 1 species
UGGCUUUAAGUCUAGGUACCUUAAUGGUGUGU